rnacentral:rRNA from 1 species
UUUAAAUUGAGAGUUUGAUCCUGGCUCAGGACGAACGCUGGCGGCGUGCCUAACACAUGCAAGUCGAGCGAUGCGAUCYUUCGGGAUCAAUUAGCGGCGGACGGGUGAGUAACACGUGGGUAACCUGCCUCAAAGAGGGGAAUAGCCUCCCGAAAGGGAGAUUAAUACCGCAUAAUAUGUUUUGAUCGCAUGAUCUUAACAUCAAAGGAAUUUUUCGGAAUUUCACUUUGAGAUGGACCCGCGGCGCAUUAGCUAGUUGGUGAGGUAAAGGCCCACCAAGGCAACGAUGCGUAGCCGACCUGAGAGGGUGAUC